UCCAAGUGGUUUGGCUUGUUAAAAACAUCUUGCAUUAUGAUACAGGAAUUUGCUGGCUUUGUGUUUACAGAAGUACCUGACUAUGCCGGACUUUUGUGCAGCCUACGGAUGCUCUAAUCACCGCAGUCUACAAACAAGAACCCGUGGGAUCACCUUUCACGUGUUUCCCAAAACCGAAGAGAGGAGGAGGCAGUGGGAACUUGCCCUAAGAAGGGACGGUUUUGUUUCCUGUGACAGGACAGUAACAGUUUGACCCGUUGUUGGGCCAAGCUGUUUUGUGCAUAUCAUUUUACUUACUUGCAGUUACAAAUAAACCGCUGGUAACACAUACCAAUUCUA